rnacentral:rRNA from 1 species
CCUACGGGCGGCAGCAGUGGGGAAUAUUGGACAAUGGGGGGAACCCUGAUCCAGCCAUUCCGCGUGUGUGAAGAAGGCCCUCGGGUUGUAAAGCACUUUCAGUGAGGAAGAACGCCUGGUGGUUAAUACCCAUCAGGAAAGACAUCACUCACAGAAGAAGCACCGGCUAACUCCGUGCCAGCAGCCGCGGUAAUACGGAGGGUGCGAGCGUUAAUCGGAAUUACUGGGCGUAAAGCGCGCGUAGGUGGCUUGAUAAGCCGGUUGUGAAAGCCCCGGGCUCAACCUGGGAACGGCAUCCGGAACUGUCAAGCUAGAGUGCAGGAGAGGAAGGUAGAAUUCCCGGUGUAGCGGUGAAAUGCGUAGAGAUCGGGAGGAAUACCAGUGGCGAAGGCGGCCUUCUGGACUGACACUGACACUGAGGUGCGAAAGCGUGGGUAGCAAACAGGAUUAGAUACCCUUGUAGUC